rnacentral:rRNA from 1 species
AUACGGAGGGUGCAAGCGUUAUUCGGAAUUACUGGGCGUAAAGGGCGCGUAGGCGGCGCAUUAAGUCAGUUGUGAAAGCCCGGGGCUCAACCCCGGAAGUGCAAUUGAAACUGGUGUGCUUGAGUAUGGUAGAGGGAAGUGGAAUUCCUGGUGUAGCGGUGAAAUGCGUAGAUAUCAGGAGGAACACCCGUGGCGAAGGCGACUUCCUGGACCAAUACUGACACUGAGGCGCGAAGGCGUGGGGAGCAAACAGGAUUAGAAACCCCAGUAGUCC